CUGAUGAAGAAGGAGGAGCAACACAACUGUGAAGAGCUACUUGUGAGAAAACCACCCAGAAGGGAUUUAAAGCCGUGUUUUAACCUGAAAAAAUGGUAACCAAGCAUGAAAAUCAUCUAACUUCAGGUAGCCCAAGGGGACUAGCUCAAGUGAGGCAAGAGCUGUGCCACUGUGUCUUCAGCACUUCAGGUGAG